rnacentral:rRNA from 1 species
UACGGAGGGUGCAAGCGUUAUCCGGAUUCACUGGGUUUAAAGGGUGCGUAGGUGGGCUUGUAAGUCAGUGGUGAAAUCUCCGUGCUUAACAUGGAAACUGCCAUUGAUACUAUGAGUCUUGAAUUUUCUGGAGGUCAGCGGAAUAUGUCAUGUAGCGGUGAAAUGCUUAGAUAUGACAUAGAACACCGAUUGCGAAGGCAGCUGGCUACACAGAUAUUGACGCUGAGGCACGAAAGCGUGGGGAUCAAACAGG